GAUGAACGCUGGCGGCGUGCCUAAUACAUGCAAGUCGAGCGAACAGACGAGGAGCUUGCUCCUUUGACGUUAGCGGCGGACGGGUGAGUAACACGUGGGUAACCUACCUAUAAGACUGGGAUAACUUCGGGAAACCGGAGCUAAUACCGGAUAAUAUUUCGAACCGCAUGGUUCGAUAGUGAAAGAUGGCUUUGCUAUCACUUAUAGAUGGACCUGCGCCGUAUUAGCUAGUUGGUAAGGUAACGGCUUACCAAGGCAACGAUACGUAGCCGACCAGAGAGGGUGAUCGGCCACACUGGAACUGAGACACGGUCCAGACUCCUACGGGAGGCAGCAGUAGGGAAUCUUCUGCAAUGGGCGAAAGCCUGACGGAGCAACGCCGCGUGAGUGAUGAAGGUCUUCGGAUCGUAAAACUCUGUUAUUAGGGAAGAACAAACGUGUAAGUAACUGUGCACGUCUUGACGGUACCUAAUCAGAAAGCCACGGCUAACUACGUG
rnacentral:rRNA from 1 species